GCUUCAUAGAAAGUGUUACCGGAUUGACAAACAAUUGAGGAAAGAAGAGAGAACAUUCAGUUGGAGUUGAAGCCUACAGCCUUUCUGUCCAUGCAGCAACUGAUGGAAAAGGGGGUCUUUUUUAAUGAUGUUGUAUUAUGAGUUAUUGCAAAAAUGAGUAUAUACAGUAUAUAAAUAUGGAUUCUUGAAUCAUU